UAUUUAUUCUAUGCAACUGCUGUUCUUUGUGUGUUGGUUUUGUGAACAAGUGUUUAUAAUAACUGUCUGUAGUGUUCACUGCCUGUGUUUACACUCCAGUUGUUAGGGUUAGGUAUCCUGGAGACGAAGUCCAUGGUUUGGAGUGUGGGAGUGGCGGGGAUUAGUGAGGUCCCAGUGGGAUGAUUUCUUGGUCUGUGCAGCUUCUCAGUUUAAAUAUCUCUUACAGUUCUAGGGAAUUUACUGAAAAUCUACUAUGGGCUUCAUCUGCUUAUAUUAGCUUAUAAUGACCCUUAUGAUGGACUAAGCCUGGGGAAAAGCUGGGACUUUAUGGCAACGACUGAUUUAAAAUGAAGAAGAGAUGGACUCUAUUGUUCUCUGUUUUACUGGAAAUCUUCAGCUGUGUAUCAGUAUCCAGAGCUUCAGCUCAGCAGGUGGAGGUGCUGAAUGGAGCUGUGGGAGAAUCUGUUAUAUUCUCUACUAGAGUUCCUGUAACUGGUACUAUAAUAUAUGAAGGCAGGAGCAUUGGACAGGUGUUGAAUAAACAGAGUGAUACAGAACAUGAGGAGAAGUUUAAGAAUCGUCUCUCCUGGAGCAGCGAGUUCUUCACUCUCUCAGAUCUCAGAUCAGAUGAUUCAGGUGUUUAUACUGUACAGAGCACUAGAGAAGAGAAAGCAAAUCAUGUAUACCAGCUGAAUGUGUAUGAUAAAGUAUCAACUCCUCAGGUGAUCACACUGAACCCCUAUUCUCCAGAGAGUGAUCUGUGUUUACUGCAGUGUUCAGUGAGGAACGUGAGAGGACUGAAUCUCUCCUGGUUUAGAGGAAAUAUUCAAUUAAACCAAACCAGCAGCUCCAACAUCUCCAGUCCUGAAACCACACUGAACCUCCCUCUGGAAAUUCAGCAGAUAGAUAAAGACAUCUUCAGCUGUGAGGCUUCAAACCCAGUCAUCAAGCAGAGCAUCACUGUUAACUCAACAGAACUUUGUCUUCAAAAACCUGAUAAAAUAACUGAUGAUAACAGGUCAAACAUCAUCCUUGCUGUUGUGAUCCCUGUGGUACUUUUUCUGGCAGUAAUAGGCAUGAUCAUAUUCAUACGAAGAAAAAAACAUGAAAACAGUCACCGCUCACAAGGCAGGGGAACGUACGUGAAUCUGCCGCUCAGGAAACAAGCCUCUUAACGACGAUUUAUGACCGGAUUCGUCCUCAUCAGACAGAGACUUCAGAGUGAUUCAGCCUGAGCAGAAACAGGAAAGUGGUCACUGUGGUGUUUAGAUGAAGAAGAACUAAUUGAAGUUUAUUGAAGUUUUGUAAUCUAUGAAGACGUCCACAUAUUUCACAUUACUUUAAUAUGCUACUGGUCAAAUGUUUUAGAACAUUAAAGAAGAUUGGACAGCACUCGUAUAAUAUUCAAUGUAUUUAUUUAACUCACAGAUAAAACAUGAACGUUUCGGCCCUUAGGCCUUAAUCACCCAUCAUUUUAAAUGUCCAGUAGCGGCACUGUAUGUCCCAGACAAGCUACUUUUUAUAUUUUCUAAUCUUAUCAAUUAUUUUAUCUCUGCACUAUUUCACCUGUCAGACCUUUAAAUCUUCUCUUCACUGUUAAAACUGAGACUUAAUACAAUGUUAAGCUGAGCUAAAGGCUAAAGCUGCUUCCAUGUGGGUCAGCCAGACGUCUUCCUGUUCCAGUUUUCAGUAAAAAGAGGGAAAAGCACUUCCUUCCAAAAGCACUUGUUCCAUUAUAAUUAUAAAUUAGCACUCAAAACUGCAUUGCACCUUACUGCUAUUGCUGUACUGCAAUAUUACUGUACUGCUAAUUAUACUGCUGGCAGUAGGUAUAUCAUGCAGGGUUCAUGUUAGGACUGUUUCUAUGCAAAUUAUGGCAAAUAUGAAGCUAACUUUGUGCAAAUAGUGUAUUAUAAUAUUCACUAAUUUGCUUUGAAGUAGAUUUCAGUCAGAACAUGUCCUAAAACAUUUCACUAUUUUUCUAGUGCUUUUGUGUUUAGCGUGUGUUCAAAAUCUCACCUGAAUGCAAACUACAUCACAACCCCAACAGCACCUGCUCUAUUAUCUGUGCACAGGUGGGAGGGGGAGGGGAGAAUAAUGAUAGCAGCUGGUUCCUCUUUAGAGAGGGGGAGUGGCUGUACUGGGCAGGUGGAUCCAGGUUAACUAUUAUUUUCA
ensembl:lncRNA